ACUGUAUUUCCAUGUAAUUUGUCCCUGAGUCAUGAUCUUGGAUGAGAUUUGGGUCAGCUGUACUUAUUCAGCCUCGUGGGCAAUGUGCGGAUUUAUCUAACCGAGGUAUGAAAUAAUAUGAAACAGAAGCGGCUUUCCUUCAUAUAAGGACCUCCAGCCAAGCCCUCAGAAGGUACGAGAAGGCAAGGAACUUGUUAUUAGGCAGCUGAGCUAGGGCAGGGUGUGUAUAACUCAAGCUCUCUUCCUUUGCAUUCUGCUUUUUUUUUUAUAUAUGCUCAUCUGAAAUAUAAUCACUUGGCUGAUUCAGAAUUAGCUUGCUUUGGCUUGGCAUGCCCAUUAAUCCACUUCAUCUGUUCUUCUCUGUGCAGUGUAGAGUUAAAAUUUCUUCUUACCCCUCCUCCUGCUCUUGGGAAACUCAGACUUGUUUUUUUGAUAUUCAGAAGGACCCAAACCAAUUCUGGAGUUGUACAAACUCUUCUCUGGAAGCAAAAUGUCUGGAAAACUGCAAACCAUGGUAGGAGUCCCCAUUGCUGAAGUUAUUGCCGCACACUGGCAGCAAAUUCGGACGUUCCAAGCCAGAUCUGAGGAUGUGUUGAUUGCCACCUACCCCAAAUCAGAACUCCAUCAAUGAGAUACGCAAACUGAUGCGGUUCUUGGAUAAAGACCUCUCUGAAGAGGUUCUGGAGAAGAUAGUGUACAGGAGUUCCUUUAACGAGAUGAAGGAGAACCCAAUGGCCAAUUAUUCUACAUUCCCCUCGGAUGUACUAGACCAAUCUCGGUAUACGUUCAUGCGGAAAGGUAUGGUGGGUGACUGGAAGACACACAUUACAGUUCAACAGAAUGAGAUGUUUGAGGAGAACUACCGACAGCAGAUGCACGGCUGUGCUGUAAAGUUUAGUUAUGAGAUAUAGGAGGGGGCCAACUGCAUUCUGCUUUUCACUUCUGAAUUUGUAUUGCAAAAAUAGGGAUAAAUAGUAGGAAUUAUACAAUUAUUUAGUACUACAAUGUUGCAACAAUUUCCUAAAGAUUCCAGAUUAGUUAUUAGGUAUAUCUUUUAGAAGCUCUUUUGGUUGUAUUUUUGUAUGUAAUCUGAAUGGAGCAGUUACUCCAUAGGUGGAAAUGCAUGCCCAUCUGUGAAUGGUUUUAUAUCAAUGUCUUUGAUAUUUAUAUUUGGAAAAACCAAUAAAACAUGGGAAAUUUUUUACAUAAA